GAUGAACGCUGGCGGCGUGCUUAACACAUGCAAGUCGAACGAAGCAUUUAAAGUGAAGUUUUCGGAUGGAACUUUGAAUGACUUAGUGGCGGACGGGUGAGUAACGCGUGGGUAACCUGCCUUACACAGGGGGAUAACAGCCGGAAACGGUUGCUAAUACCGCAUAAGCGCACAGUGUUGCAUGACACAGUGUGAAAAGAUUUAUCGGUGUAAGAUGGACCCGCGUCUGAUUAGCUAGUUGGUGAGGUAACGGCCCACCAAGGCGACGAUCAGUAGCCGGCUUGAGAGAGUGACCGGCCACAUUGGGACUGAGACACGGCCCAAACUCCUACGGGAGGCAGCAGUGGGGAAUAUUGCACAAUGGGGGCAACCCUGACGCAGCAACGCCGCGUGAGUGAGGAAGGUUUUCGGACUGUAAAGCUCUGUCGAGCGGGAAGAAGUGUACCAUGGCUAAUAUCCAUGAUAUUUGACGGUACCGCUAGAGGAAGCACCGGCUAACC
rnacentral:rRNA from 1 species